GCUGGGUGUGGUGGUGCGCACCUGUAAUCCCAGCUACUCAGGAGGCUGAGGCAUGAGAAUCGCUUGAACCUGGGAGGUGGAGGUUGCAGUGAGCCGAGAUGGUGCCACUGCACUCCUGCCUGGGUAACAGAGCAAGACCCUGUCUCAA
rnacentral:SRP_RNA from 1 species